rnacentral:rRNA from 1 species
GUGGGGAAUAUUGCACAAUGGGCGCAAGCCUGAUGCAGCAACGCCGCGUGAGGGACGACGGCCUUCGGGUUGUAAACCUCUUUUAGCAGGGAAGAAGCGAAAGUGACGGUACCUGCAGAAAAAGCUCCGGCUAACUACGUGCCAGCAGCCGCGGUAAUACGUAGGGUGCAAGCGUUGUCCGGAAUUAUUGGGCGUAAAGAGCUCGUAGGCGGCUUGUCGCGUCUGCUGUGAAAACCCGAGGCUCAACCUCGGGCCUGCAGUGGGUACGGGCAGACUAGAGUGCGGUAGGGGAGAUUGGAAUUCCUGGUGUAGCGGUGGAAUGCGCAGAUAUCAGGGGGAACACCGAUGGCGAAGGCAGAUCUCUGGGCCGUAACUGACGCUGAGGAGCGAAAGCGUGGGGAGCGAACAGGAUUAGAAACCCUGGUAGUCC